rnacentral:lncRNA from 1 species
ACCCGUAACCCUUCAGGGGUCCCCCACCUCUUCCCGCCUGCGGAAUGGGGACUCCAAACCCAGAAGACGCUCUCGGAGGCCACGUCCUUAGUAUCCCCUACUCUACGGCCUGCUUUGCCCCAGGUCCUGCUCAAAACGCUUAGGAAUCCAUCAGAAAACAAAACAGGGUUUCUGACUUCAUGAAGCUUCCAUUUUUGUGGGAGAAGACGGACAACAGAAGCUGUAUUUAUUAAACACUUACAUAACAUAGCACUGACUCCAUGGCAGGUGUUAUGCUACACAUUUUAUAAAUACAAAUUCAUUUGAUCCUCAUGAAAAUUCUGAGUUAGGUAUUGUUCAUAUAAAUAAGGAAACCAAGGCAAAGGGGUUAAAUAAUCCACCCAAAGCCACAUGAGUAGCAAGUGGUGAAGCCACAACUCAACCCCAGGCAGCCUGGCUCCAGAGCCCAGGCCCUCUACCUCUCAGUAAGCAUGAGUGAGCAACACAGCAUGCUAGAGGGUGAGUGCCCCGGAAAAAUGGAGAGUAAAGCAGAGUAAAGGGAAUCCGGAGCACGGAGGGAAGGAGACACACUGACAUUUUAAACUGGGAGGCAUGAGGAUUCCCAGAGGAGCUGACAUCUGAGCAAAGGCAUGCAAUGCAAGGGUUGAGGGAGUGCGCAUGCAAUAUUGCAGGAAAGAGUGUUUCAGGGAGGGGGAGUCUGUCCCACAGCCCUGAGGCAGGGUGUGCCUGGAGCAUGGGAGGAAGGUCCCGACAGGGAUGGAACAGCACCUGCCUUUUGUGCAGCA